CGGCACGGGUGAGUAACACGUAUCCAACCUGCCGUCUACUCUUGGACAGCCUUCUGAAAGGAAGAUUAAUACAAGAUGGCAUCAUGAGUUCACAUGUUCACAUGAUUAAAGGUAUUCCGGUAGACGAUGGGGAUGCGUUCCAUUAGAUAGUAGGCGGGGUAACGGCCCACCUAGUCUUCGAUGGAUAGGGGUUCUGAGAGGAAGGUCCCCACAUUGGAACUGAGACACGGUCCAA
rnacentral:rRNA from 1 species